UCUCGUGGUCUGAGUGUCCUUCAGGUGCCUUUUGGCAAACUCCAGGUUGGCUGCCAUGUGGCUUCCAUCUGACCUCUCUAGCAUGCAGGCCUGAAUGGUGUAUUGCUGCAGAGAUGGUUGUCCUUCUGGAAGGUUCUCCUCUCUCCCCAGAGGAAUGCUGGAGCUCUGACAGAGUGCAAUUUAGACUGGU